AAAGCACAAUUCUUUAUAAAACAAAGUAUGAAAAUCUCUGUUCUGCUAUAUUUUACUCAACGGUGCAGUAUAAAUUUGCUAUAGGAGAAUGAAGCUUAUGAUGGAAGAGUAAUGUAACUUCUGCACAGCUAUAGUAGAUGAACAUGUCUGAUAAGUGUUGAGAUCUGCCUCUUUAACCAAGGACUCGAGAGGGAAGCUAAGGGGAAAAAAGUGGCUCACAACUUGUAUAUUAAAGCUCACAUUUAAAACUAGUGACAAAGAUUUAAAGGUAUUAUGAACUCAAGGUUAAAAUAGAAGUAAAAAGUCCUAUCUUAACCUUAUUUCAUAAUUUAGGUUUCCCUAUGUGUUUUUUCAUUUCACCUUUUCAUGCCCUGCUUUCCCUUUAUAUACUGUAGGCAACUCUUGGCUAGUUUUUCAUUUUCAAGCUGUGUUUCUUGGAGGUACUUGAUAAUAAAUCACAACAGUGUGUUUCUUUCCAUUUACUGCAUGAAAGAGGGCACAUCAUUUCUGAGUUGAAUGAUAAGUCAGGUUGCCACAAAUGCUUUGGCAUAAGACCUUGACAUUCAUUCCUUCUCCACAGGUAUUUAUGUCAGGGAAUCUCAUCUAUUUGAGCACUCAUGGAAAGUAAAUACAAGAUACAAGAAGUGUCCCAGUAUGACUAAGGCAAAUUCACUGGAAAAUAGAAGAAAAAAGGUACAAAGGGAAGAUGUGUGGCUACGGAACUAGAACGUGGUUAGUCAUUGUAACCUUAUAGCUGGAUUGAGCUCAGGUAUUUUUAUUACUUAUGCAGAAAUCAGUUGCACAGUUGCAUGUCUAAUCUGACAGUGGGUCACACGUGAGCCUGGCUGGAACAGGUCUGGAACUCUGAUCUCCAGAUAACCGAGUUAGAGUCAUAGGAUGGUUUGGGUUGGACAGGACCUUAAGAUCAUCUAGUUGCAACCCCCUGCCAUGGGCAAUAUGUGUUUUCCUUUGCUGCAUGAAAUUGUUGCAGUGUUUUGAAGCUGGUGAUUACAAUAUUCUACUCUGAAAGGGAUUAAAAGCUAUAGCUACAAUGAAGAUGUAUGGGCAUUUAUGGCCAGUAUAUAAACAAUGUCAUUGUUCUAAGCAGUCCCAGAUAGUUACAGGGCUGGAAGUUCCAGUGUAAGACAGCAGGGUCCUGAUGAGUGUGCCUCUGCAAAGGAAGAGCAGGAGGCACAAAGAAUUCAGCAAUAGGUUUUACUCAUAGUUUCUGUUUGCCCUUUGUUACUCAGGCCCUGAAGUGCAAAGCUUGCAGAGUGGUUUAGAAGUUGCUGCUAUCUUCCCCCCUGCAGAUGGAAUGAAAGCUGUCCAGGGCGGCUUGUUUGUUACAGUUGUGUAUUCAGUUUGAAAGCAGAAGGACUUCUAAGGGCAAAGCCUUUGUUUUGUGACUUGACUCAAGUCUCUGGGUAAUAAUGACUUCCUUCAGAGAUUUCUGUUGGAUAUGGGUUAUCUGGACACCAGCAAACUUAAAUAUCAGUAGACCUCAGGGAAUAGAGGAAAAAUAUGUAGAUCUAGCAUGAUUCAGAAUGACUGGCCUGCCUCCUGUUCCUGUGUACCCGUGUGUAUUGGUGACAUGUGAAAAGCUACAAGAUACCUCUAAUAAAUCACCAGAAAGACUGUUUUGCUAAUGUUGCAACAGGAGCUGGAUCUAAAAAUAAGAGAAGCAGACAGAGCCUCCACUGUUUUGCCCUCUUUGAGGCAAUGGUAAGAAUUAAAAGUUGGAAAGAGUCAGAUGCAGGGUUCACACUGGAAAUGACCAAAUUUACCCUUCACAUGGCUGCAGAUAUAAGGCCAAAAAGAAGGUAAAAUAAUGAUCAUAUUUACCAAAAUGUUGGAUGUUUCUGGGAGCUCUGUGUUUACUACACCACAUGGAACUAAUGGAACUAUUUCAAGACUGUUGGUUUGCAAAAUAAGAUAUUUUCAUUUUGCCAUCAUUCAUGUAAACUUGACAUUCUACUGAUGAUGCAUUAAGGAUAAAAUUUGAAUGCAGGAACAGAAUGAUAUAGGAAAACUGAAAUUGAUUAUAUAAACUACAAAGGGUAAAAUAUGGUUUCAGCUAUUACAAAUACAAUUUCUUCCGAAGCUCACCAUAGUUUAGAAACAAAGUUAAAAGGAAAAAACAUACAACAUAAGGUACAACACGGCUAAUUCCUUAAGUGCAGUAUAAUCUUGUGAGUUAGGGAAACUUCUAGGUAGUACAUUAGCAUCAGGGUCAGCAUUACUACUAUCUCUACCUAUCUGCCACUUGCAGAGCGGAGCUCAUCACCAGUUCCCACGGGAAGCUUAGUCAGCUCCUCAAUAAAUUGCAAUAGUAUGGUUUUAAAUUGUACGAUAAAACUUAACACCUACUCUCACCGUUAAUGUAGGGUACAGUCAUUUGUAGAGAAAAAAUUAUUUGGGGAACUCAUAACUCAAAUGGCUGAGCAGAUUUUGCUUAUAACCUUGGUGAAGCAGUACAGGUCUCAUGAGCUAUGGCUUUGCUGCCUGA